ACCCACCGGAACCGGAAGCUACCCUGCCGGCCCUCGUACCGGCCUGCCUUUGGCGCCAGGUCUCCCAAGAAACUGACCUGGCCGACCCGGGGCCUCGGAACCACGCCGAGAGACGGGCAGGGAAGAGGCGACUCUCAAAGCCCUUGUGGGUUGCCAAUCCCUUUCUCGGGACCACAAAUCCCAGAGGUCACUGCGACCGUCCCCACCCCACUACCCUCUGGGAUUUGUAGUUUGAGCCACCCGCGCCCCGAGCGCCCUCUAGUAGCAGCCGGGAGCGUCUGGCGCACGGGCGACCGCGGUGCGUGAGCGCGGGAAACUAGGGCUGCGCGGGUUGAGGGGCUCGCAGAGAGAGGCAGCCCCAGCCAGACUGCGCGCCCCGUUCAGUACGCCGGUGAAACAGUCGAGGCUGGGGGAAAAGAUUUGGGAGUAUUUCAUCCCAUUACGAUAGGACCCUGCCCUAAAGGACUUUACAGCCUCCCUAAGAGACCGGCCAGACACAAAGGACAGAAGCAAAACUCCAUGGGAAAGGAGUCCAGGGGAGCAGGUCGGGGAGAGAGGCCCGUGGUUCAACUGUAGGCUUCACGUUGGAAAAAACAGGGAGGCUCUCCUGUGCGGGGUAGGAUGUUCAGCGGCAUCCCUGGAAUCUACCCACUCGAUUCCAUUCGCAUCCACUCCCACCACCUCUACCACCUGUUGUGACGACCAGAAUUGUCUCCAGUCACUGCCAGAGGUCCCUGAAAGGAAAAUCGUUCCCCCACCCCUGCCCCGUUGAGAACCGCUGUUGUGGAACAAUGAUGCUCUGAAGUCAUGAUAUCAGAGUCCUGGGAUCGAGCCCCCCCCCCCAAUCAGGCUCUGCUCAGCGGGG